rnacentral:rRNA from 1 species
GAGUUUGAUCAUGGCUCAGAAUGAACGCUGGCGGCGUGGAUUAGGCAUGCAAGUCGGACGGGCAAAGCAAUAUGUCAGUGGCGACCUGGUUAGUACAAGUUGGGUAACCUGCCGGAAAGUGGGGAACAACCUCUCGAAAGAGGGGCUAAUACCGCAUGUGGUCACGGGGUCUUAGGAACCUGUGACGAAAGCAGCGAUGCGCUUUCCGAUGGGCCCGACCACCAUUAGCUUGUUGGUAGGGUAAUGGCCUACCAAGGCGACGAUGGUUAGCUGGCCUGAGAGGGUGGUCAGCAACACGAGGACUGAGAUACGGCCUCGACUCCUACGGGGGGCAGCAGUCUAGAGGCUUCGGCAAUGGACGAAAGUCUGACCGAGCGACGCCGCGUGGAGGAUGAAGGUCUUCGGAUUGUAAACUCCUUUCGGCUGGAAGGAAAGGGUAGGUGGCGAACUUACCUGUGACCGACCGGCGGAAGAAGCCCCGGCUAACUUCGUGCCAGCAGCCGCGGUAAUACGAAGGGGGCAAGCGUUAUUCGGAUUUAUUGGGCGUAAAGGGCGUGUAGGUGGCUUGAAAAGUCUGGUGUGAAAACGCUACCGCUCAACGGAGCGAAUGCGCUGGAUACUUUCAAACUUGAGUUCGAGAGAGGCAGGCAGAAUACCUGGUGUAGCGGUGGAAUGCUUAGAGAUCAGGUAGAAUACCCGAGGCGAAGGCGGCCUGCUGGCUCGUAACUGACACUGAGGCGCGAAAGCGUGGGGAUCAAACGGGAUUAGAUACCCCGGUAGUCCACGCUGUAAACGGUGAAUACUAGGUGUAGGGGGUACCCAUUCCCUCUGUGCCGUCGUUAACACAGUAAGUAUUCCGCCUGGGAAGUACGGCCGCAAGGUUGAAACUCAAAGGAAUUGACGGGGGCCCGCACAAGCGGUGGAGCAUGUGGUUUAAUUCGACGCAACGCGAAGAACCUUACCUGGGCUCGAAAUGCAGCUUACAGAGGAUGAAAGUCCUUGCCCUUCGGGGGUGCUGCAUAGGUGCUGCAUGGCUGUCGUCAGCUCGUGUCGUGAGAUGUUGGGUUAAGUCCCGCAACGAGCGCAACCCCCGUCCUUAGUUGCCAGCACGUAAUGGUGGGGACUCUAGGGAGACUGCCCCGGAUAACGGGGAGGAAGGUGGGGAUGACGUCAAGUCAUCAUGGCCCUUACGUCCAGGGCUACACACGUGCUACAAUGGCUGAGACAAUGCGCCGCCACUUGGCGACAAGGAGCGAAUCGCAUAAACUCGGUCCCAGUUCAGAUUGGAGGCUGCAACCCGCCUCCAUGAAGAUGGAAUCGCUAGUAAUCGCAGAUCAGCUACGCUGCGGUGAAUAUGUUCCCGGGCCUUGUACACACCGCCCGUCACGUCACGAAAGUUGGUUGUACCAGAAGUCGCUGUAGGAACCGCAAGGACCAAGGCGCCGAAGGUAUGACUAGUAAUUGGGACGAAGUCGUAACAAGGUA